AGGGCGGGGAGGACGCUUCAUGCCCCGCCUUCCGUCCGUAUCGGCAUCUCUCUCCAUCCAAACACACACAUACAUGCACACAUAUCAUCUUGCUGGGCGCAUGAAUCGCCCCCACGUGCACAUGUGCGUCCCUCUCGUCGUUUUCUUUUCCCUUUUUCUUCUCCUUCACCCGUCCAUCUUAGUCGAGCGCAGUCGUUUGACUUUUCUCUUUGUGGGGCGACUGUGUCGUGUGUACACCACCACUCACGCGCAAGAGCAACAAUCAAAAAAAAGGAAAAGGAGAGAGAAGAUUUUCGCAGGGGCGGGGAAUGAGAACAAUAUGCACGCCACAGACGCACACACACACAUACACUGGCACGUUCACAUAACUCUACCAGCGGGCAUAGAAGAGGGAUGCCAAAGAGCACGUGAUUCGUGUGUGCGUGUGUGCGUGUGUCCCUGUGUACGCCUGUGGGAACGCUUGACUGCACCUGUCUUUGCUCCCCUUCACCGAUACCCGCUCUCUCUCUCUCACGCACACCACCUCACUCUCCCUCAUCCCACCGUUGCCCGCGGCUCCGUUGGAGAGAAUCACCUUUCAUUCUUUUUUUUAUGCUUCUCUUCCUUGACAUCCCUUUGUGCUUUUUCUAUUUCAUCCUGCUCUUCAUCUGUGCUCUAACAUAUAUAUAUAUAUAUAG
rnacentral:misc_RNA from 1 species